rnacentral:rRNA from 1 species
AACGCGAAGAACCUUACCAAGACUUGACAUGGAGACGACCGGAUUAGAGAUAAUCCUUCCCUUCGGGGCGUUUCACACAGGUGGUGCAUGGUUGUCGUCAGCUCGUGUCGUGAGAUGUUGGGUUAAGUCCCGCAACGAGCGCAACCCUUACUAUUAGUAGCCAUCAGUUCGGCUGGGCACUCUAAUGGGACUGCCGUGGAUAACACGGAGGAAGGUGGGGAUGACGUCAAAUCAUCAUGCCCCUUAUGUCUUGGGCUACACACGUACUACAAUGGAUGAGAACAAAGUGAAGCGAGCACGCGAGUGUAAGCAAAGCACAAAAAAGCAUCCUCAGUUCGGAUCGCAGUCUGCAACUCGACUGCGUGAAGGUGGAAUCGCUAGUAAUCGCGAAUCAGCAUGUCGCGGUGAAUACGUUCCCGGGUCUUGUACACACCG